rnacentral:misc_RNA from 1 species
UUUCAGAUUUUGAAGCCUGCUGAGAAAAAAGCUAAAUAUAUGAUGCCAAAUAAAAUGUGACAUUUGCAGCAUCUAUGAUCUGUAUUCUCUAUUAAGAGAAACUAAAGGCUGAAACCGAAGAUUGCGAGCUGUGAAUCUUCUGAAAUGUAGGAUUUGAAAGGGUGCUUCUUUAUUCUUAAUUCACUGGUUAUUGGGGGUAAAAUCUUUGGAAAUGCUGUCUUGAUGAUGUGUGGCUUGCCAAAGGCCAGGAUUCAAAAGAAGUUAUCUUUCUUUUUGCCCAUUUUAGUCUCAUUUUCUUGUCCUGUAGUUGCUACGUUUUGGUCCUUCUGUACAUAAAUUUGGCCUGGCAAUUAAAAUUUUUGGUUUUUGGGUUUUGGCACUGCAAUGGUGUCUGCAUUUACCAUCCAAAUUAGCUUUUCAUUUUCAUGUCAAUUAUUAAGGUGCUUGUAUUGUUUAGGCAUAUUCUCAACAAGGAUGGUUAUUUUUAUUUUUAUUUUAAUGGUUAUGUUCGGCCUUUCCGCCUGUCAUGCAUGCCUAUUGCAGCAUCUUAGACCUUUCUCUGAUAUUUGAAUGCCA